rnacentral:misc_RNA from 1 species
CCCGUUCUGAGCAUUCUGUUGGAUGUUCGUUCGGUGUGAGGUAUCGGGGUUUGUGGUCGGUUGUUUGAUUUGUGAAUAGUGUGCGCGAGCAUCUUAUUAUCUGUAGUGGCCAAGUGAUAGUGGCACACGGUGGAUGCCUUGGCAUCAGGCGCCGAUGAAGGACGUGGAGGCCACGAUAGGCCGCGGGGAGCUUCAACCGAGC